GGCAAUGGAUAUGUCUUGUAAAUGAAGAUGAGCCAAUUCUAUAAAAGUGACAUUGCUUACCCUCAAAUACAUUUCAUAUCAAGAUCAGAGAAUCCCAAGUAGUUUUGUUACUUUAUGUCACGAGAACAAAAUGUACUGUUUUAUGCCCUCUGGUGUACAGUGCUGGUACUGCACUGCUGCUUUGCCCUCUGUAAGUGCAUUCACCUCUGCUCUCCUGCAGGCAGCGCUAAAGAGCACACAGUGCUGAAGAAGGCAGAGCAGUACGGUUGCCAGCGGCAACAUGUGGAGCCUCCACCGGCAGACAUGGAGCUGAUUUUACCCUGGAGGUGAGAGAUGGGGACGACUUUGAGCUGAUUUUACCCUGGAGGUGAGAGUUGGGGACGACUUUGAGCUGAUUUUACCCUGGAGGUGAGAGUUGGGGACGACUUUGAGCUGAUUUUACCCACCCUGGAGGUGAGAGUUGGGGACGACUUUGAGCUGAUUUUACCCUGGAGGUGAGAGAUGGGGACGACUUGGAGCUGAUUUUACCCGCCCUGGAGGUGAGAGUUGGGGACGACUUUGAGCUGAUUUUACCCUGGAGGUGAGAGUUGGGGACGACUUUGAGCUGAUUUUACACACCCUGGAGGUGAGAGUUGGGGACGACUUUGAGCUGAUUUCACACACCCUGGAGGUGAGAGUUGGG
ensembl:lncRNA